UCACUCGGAAUCGCCUGAGAUCGCCACCAUGAGCAGAUAUACAGUAACGUUCCUGGCGUUGAUCCUCUGCAUUGCUGUAUUUCGUUCCAGUGCGAAGCCUAGCGAUUAUUCUAAUGACUCAAAAGUACAAGAGAGAGCUGACCUUAGUUGGUGCAGUAAUUAUGGCUGCUCCUCCACUCCAUGUCCACCUCCCUGUCAGUGUCCUAGCGGGUGGCAAGCAGCAUUUAAUGGCAAAGGAUAUGUUUGCUACUGAAAAUAACAUUUCGUCGUUGUCUACAUUCGUACAGAAUCGUGUUCGUUAUGAAAUUCAAUCUUAAAUAAACGAUGAAACACCAUAAAUUGAUAGCGGGUAGAUUUUUCUUCUUGUGCUCGAAGCAAUCAUACUUGACUUUCGAAAUAAAGUAUAAGUUGUG